rnacentral:rRNA from 1 species
GAGUUUGAUCGUGGCUCAGAACGAACGCUGGCGGCGUGCCUAACACAUGCAAGUCGAACGGGAUUGGGGGCGUUGCUCCUCAAUCUAGUGGCGCACGGGUGAGUAGCGCGUGGAUAAUCUGCCUGAUGAUCCGGGAUAACAUUUCGAAAGGGUGCUAAUACCGGAUAAGCCCACGAAGUCUUCGGACUAUGCGGGAAAAGGGGGGACCUUCGGGCCUUCCGUCAUCAGAUGAGUCCGCGUACCAUUAGCUAGUUGGUGGGGUAAAGGCCUACCAAGGCGACGAUGGUUAGCUGGUCUGAGAGGAUGAUCAGCCACAUUGGAACUGAGACACGGUCCAGACUCCUACGGGAGGCAGCAGUGGGGAAUUUUGCGCAAUGGGGGAAACCCUGACGCAGCAACGCCGCGUGAGUGAUGAAGGCCUUCGGUCGUAAAGCUACUGUCAGAGGGAAAGAAGUGUUUGGUGGC